AUUGAACGCUGGCGGCAGGCCUAACACAUGCAAGUCGAACGAGUGGCGGACGGGUGAGUAAUGUCUGGGAAACUGCCUGCUGGAGGGGGAUAACUACUGGAAACGGUAGCUAAUACCGCAUAACAUCAGAUGUGCCCAGAUGGGAUUAGCUUGUUGGUGGGGUAACGGCGCACCAAGGCGACGAUCCCUAGCUGGUCUGAGAGGAUGACCAGACACACGGGAAGAGAGACACGGGCCAGACUCCAACAUGGGGCAGCAGUGGGGAAUGUUUCACAAUGGGGACAAGCCUGAUGCAGCCGUGCCGCUUGUAUGAAGAAGGCCAUCGAGUUGUAAAGUACUUUCAACGGGGAGGCGUUACCCGCAGAAGAAGCACCGGCUAACUCGGUACCAGCAGCCGCGGUAAUAC
rnacentral:rRNA from 1 species